UACGUAGGAGACGAGCGUUGUCCGGAGUUACUGGGCGUAAAGGGUGCGCAGGCGGCCGUGUGUGUGAGGCGUGAAAGCCCGGGGCUUAACCCCGGAAUUGCACCUCAAACUACACGGCUAGAGCAUUGGAGAGGGUAGCGGAAUUCACGGUGUAGCAGUGAAAUGCGUAGAUAUCGUGAGGAACACCAGAGGCGAAGGCGGCUACCUGGACAAUUGCUGACGCUCAGGCACGAAAGCGUGGGGAGCAAACAGG
rnacentral:rRNA from 1 species